CCUACGGGUGGCAGCAGUAGGGAAUAUUGCUCAAUGGGGGAAACCCUGAAGCAGCAACGCCGCGUGGAGGAUGAAGGGUUUAGGAUUGUAAACUCCUUUUGUUAGAGAAGAUUAUGACGGUAUCUAACGAAUAAGUACCGGCUAACUCCGUGCCAGCAGCCGCGGUAUUACGGCGGGUGCAAGCGUUACUCGGAAUCACUGGGCGUAAAGAGUGCGUAGGCGGGGUAAUAAGUCAGAUGUGAAAUCCUGUAGCUUAACUACAGAACUGCAUUUGAAACUGUUGCUCUGGAGUGUGGGAGAGGUAGGUGGAAUGCUUGGUGUAGCGGUAAAAUGCGUAGAGAUCAUGCAGAACACCGAUUGCGAAGGCAGCUUACCGGGCUACAUCUGACGUUGAGGCACGAAAGCGUGGGGAGCGAACAGGAUUAGAUACCCUUGUAGUC
rnacentral:rRNA from 1 species